rnacentral:rRNA from 1 species
GACGAACGCUGGCGGCGUGCUUAACACAUGCAAGUCGAACGGAAAGGCCCUGCUCUUGUGGGGUGCUCGAGUGGCGAACGGGUGAGUAACACGCGAGUAACCUGCCCUUGACUUUGGGAUAACUUCAGGAAACUGGGGCUAAUACCGGAUAGGAGCUCCUGCUGCAUGGUGGGGGAUGGAAAGUUUCGGCGGUUGGGGAUGGACUCGCGGCUUAUCAGCUUGUUGGUGGGGUAGUGGCUUACCAAGGCUUUGACGGGUAGCCGGCCUGAGAGGGUGACCGGCCACAUUGGGACUGCGAUACGGCCCAGACUCCUACGGGAGGCAGCAGUGGGGAAUAUUGCACAAUGGGCGGAAGCCUGAGGCAGCAACGCCGCGUGCGGGAUGACGGCCUUCGGGUUGUAAACCGCUUUCGCCUGUGACGAAGCGUGAGUGACGGUAAUGGGUAAAGAAGCACCGGCUAACUACGUG